rnacentral:sRNA from 2 species
CGCCACCCUUCGAUGAACUCACGCACGGCAGGAGCGGGGGACCCAGGUAAGCCGCCGGACCGGUUCGCACCCGGAACGGCUCGGGGUGAAGCCGUGCCCGCAGCAGGGCACGGCCGGGCACUCUCCCGCCCGAACCCGACAGCUCACCUCGCAGGCGUAGGAGAGGAACA